GACAGAGGGUGCGACCGUUGUUCGGAAUUACUGGGCGUAAAGCGCGUGUAGGCGGCAAUGCAAGUCGGGCGUGAAAUCCCACGGCUCAACCGUGGAAGUGCACUCGAAACUGCAUAGCUAGAGUCCUGGAGAGGAAGGUGGAAUGCUUGGUGUAGAGGUGAAAUUCGUAGAUAUCAAGCGGAACACCGGUGGCGAAGGCGGCCUUCUGGACAGUGACUGACGCUGAGACGCGAAAGCGUGGGGAGCAAACAGG
rnacentral:rRNA from 1 species